UGAGGAUUAUAAGGAAGGCCAGUA
rnacentral:piRNA from 1 species